AACUUUAAGAAAUUAAGAAUUAAUAUGCUUUAAUAUAGACUGAGCCUUCCGCCAAAAAGUAGUUCCACCACAACUGUAACAGAACUGAAACUUAACUACAAAACGGUGUAUGGUUCAGGCAGACUAACACUACGAAAGUUAGCUUGAAAGCAAAAUUGGGAAUAAACGAAGAUGGUAAUGUUAGGACCGUGAAAUAACGCUAAUACUCUUCUCUCCUGCUUUGUGGAGUCGUCUUCAGGUGAACGCUGCGCAUUUUUGAGCAUUUCUUCUUGUUUUGCUGGGUGGUGUUGGUUUUAGCUAGCUGGCUGGACUGUGGUUAGGUUAGCGUAGCUUGCUUUAGCUCAGCAUUAACGUAGCUUAGCCUAGCCUGGCUGGUUAGCGUUUUGGCUCUCAGACCGCAUUAGCAGAGCGAUUUUCUUUCCCCUUUUUCCACAAAAGACAGCCAGCGCUGCGUGGGCACGAAAGUUUUGAGUCUCUGAUAAAUCACAGUAUUGACAUACAUAUUAUUUGUAACUUAAUAUGUAAUAUGUAUUGAAUGUAAACUUUAUUUGAAGUCUAAAAGCUCUGCAUCUUUUUUGUUAUUUCAUCCAUUUCUCAUUUUCUGCAAAUAAAUGCUCUAAAUGACAAUAUUUUUAUUUGGAAUUUGAGAGAAAUGUUGUCCGAAGUUUAUAGAAUAAAACAACAAUGUUCAGUUUACUCAAACAUAAACCUAUAAAUAGAAAAAUCAUAGAAACUGAAUCAGAAACUGAAGUGAUCUCUUUUUUUGUUUGUUUGUUUUCCAGAGCUGUAUGAUCUACAGGUUUACCUAAGGUAGCCCAGGGGGGAAUCACUAUACAUUGAUGCAAUUGAAUGGAGACAAGAUAAUGUCAAUACAAGCCAAAGUUGAAAUCCAGGUACCAAUGACUCAGCAGACCAAGGACAAAUCCCAGAAAAUGAAUAGCCUCGGUUUCAUCGUUUGAUUGAAGCUUAUCUCAGUUACAAGGUAAGCAAGAAUCAGACUUUCACUCGAGACCAGGUGAGUCCAAUCCUUCCUUUAUUCCUGUUCCUUUUCUCCUGCGGAACACGGUGUAAAAUGAAACAGCAGAAGCGGCUCCAUGCGGUGUUCAGUGCUCUCCUGUGUUAAUCAGUUUGGCUGGCCCUUACCGUGCCCAGCAUGCUCUGCAG
rnacentral:lncRNA from 1 species